rnacentral:rRNA from 1 species
ACAGGCUUAACACAUGCAAGUCGAGGGGCAGCAUAGUCUUAGCUUGCUAAGGCCGAUGGCGACCGGCGCACGGGUGAGUAACACGUAUCCAACCUGCCGUCUACUCUUGGACAGCCUUCUGAAAGGAAGAUUAAUACAAGAUGGCAUCAUGAGUCCGCAUGUUCACAUGAUUAAAGGUAUUCCGGUAGACGAUGGGGAUGCGUUCCAUUAGAUAGUAGGCGGGGUAACGGCCCACCUAGUCUUCGAUGGAUAGGGGUUCUGAGAGGAAGGUCCCCCACAUUGGAACUGAGACACGGUCCAAACUCCUACGGGAGGCAGCAGUGAGGAAUAUUGGUCAAUGGGCGAGAGCCUGAACCAGCCAAGUAGCGUGAAGGAUGACUGCCCUAUGGGUUGUAAACUUCUUUUAUAAAGGAAUAAAAUCGGGUAUGGAUACCCGUUUGCAUGUACUUUAUGAAUAAGGAUCGGCUAACUCCGUGCCAGCAGCCGCGGUAAUACGGAGGAUCCGAGCGUUAUCCGGAUUUAUUGGGUUUAAAGGGAGCGUAGAUGGAUGUUUAAGUCAGUUGUGAAAGUUUGCGGCUCAACCGUAAAAUUGCAGUUGAUACUGGAUAUCUUGAGUGCAGUUGAGGCAGGCGGAAUUCGUGGUGUAGCGGUGAAAUGCUUAGAUAUCACGAAGAACUCCGAUUGCGAAGGCAGCCUGCUAAGCUGCAACUGACAUUGAGGCUCGAAAGUGUGGGUAUCAAACAGGAUUAGAUACCCUGGUAGUCCACACGGUAAACGAUGAAUACUCGCUGUUUGCGAUAUACUGCAAGCGGCCAAGCGAAAGCGUUAAGUAUUCCACCUGGGGAGUACGCCGGCAACGGUGAAACUCAAAGGAAUUGACGGGGGCCCGCACAAGCGGAGGAACAUGUGGUUUAAUUCGAUGAUACGCGAGGAACCUUACCCGGGCUUAAAUUGCAGAUGAAUUACGGUGAAAGCCGUAAGCCGCAAGGCAUCUGUGAAGGUGCUGCAUGGUUGUCGUCAGCUCGUGCCGUGAGGUGUCGGCUUAAGUGCCAUAACGAGCGCAACCCUUGUUGUCAGUUACUAACAGGUUCCGCUGAGGACUCUGACAAGACUGCCAUCGUAAGAUGUGAGGAAGGUGGGGAUGACGUCAAAUCAGCACGGCCCUUACGUCCGGGGCUACACACGUGUUACAAUGGGGGGUACAGAGGGCCGCUACCACGCGAGUGGAUGCCAAUCCCCAAAACCUCUCUCAGUUCGGACUGGAGUCUGCAACCCGACUCCACGAAGCUGGAUUCGCUAGUAAUCGCGCAUCAGCCACGGCGCGGUGAAUACGUUCCCGGGCCUUGUACACACCGCCCGUCAAGCCAUGGGAGCCGGGGGUACCUGAAGUGCGUAACCGCGAGGAGCGCCCUAGGGUAAAACUGGUGACUGGGGCUAAGUCAUAAC